rnacentral:lncRNA from 1 species
UCAUUAAAAUCGACAAUUAUCUUCAUUUUAUAUUUAACAUAAUAAAUAUUUUAAAUAUAAAAUAUAACAUUUUAUUCUUUCAUUUACAGGUGGGUAAAGUUUUUGUUUUAUUUUGAAACGAGAACAUCAUUUGCUCUGCAGCUGACGUUCUUGUUUUAACAAAAAAUGUGCUAUUUUUUUGAUAAUGUUCCUUAUUAACAUCAUUGUAACAGUUGUUUUUUGCACGGUUAUUUAGGUUGCUUGCUUAAUUUCAUUAAAUAAUUUAUGUUAUUAUGGCUGCAAAAUUAUUUAGAAAAAUACAGCAAAUGCUGGAAGCUAGAACAGGAAGUUAUAAAUCAGCAUCUUGAUGGUAAAAUGAAAAUCAACAUCUAGUAGCACUUCUUUGAAUUGUCUUUAAAUUAGAGUAAUGUUAAUUUUGAUUGGUAUGGAGAUAGAUGCAUACAAUGGAAAACGAACUGCUGUUAUAUUUUUGGAAGAUGUUAAACAACAAGAUGUAAUUCGAGAUAUUGUUUCUAAAAUUCUUAAAGACGUGUUAUUCGUUCAAGUAAACGAUGCUGUUAAAGCAGGUUGUCUGAGCAGUUAAAGAAACUUAAUCAAAUGAUUCAAAAUUCUCUUCUUUAAGCAGCCGAAGCAACGAUACUCGAAAUGCCUGGAAUGGAUAAUUAACCAAGUAAUAAAUAAACUUUGAAAUAAAGUUUAAAAAUAAAAAAUGUCUUGUUUA